rnacentral:rRNA from 1 species
AGGCUUGCAGGGGGUGGAGACACCCCUUUCUUNGGACUGCCCUGCAAGNUGCUGCAUGGUUGUCGUCAGCUCGUGCCGUGAGGUGUCAGGUUAAGUCCUAUAACGAGCGCAACCCCUACCGUUAGUUGCCAGCGAGUCAAGUCGGGGACUCUAACGGGACUGCCGGUGCAAACCGUGAGGAAGGUGGGGACGACGUCAAAUCAUCACGGCCCUUACGUCCUGGGCUACACACGUGCUACAAUGGCCGGCACAGAGGGAAGCCACCCCGCGAGGGGGAGCGGAUCUACAAAACCGNUCACAGUUCGGAUCGGGGUCUGCAACUCGACCCCGUGAAGCUGGAAUCGCUAGUAAUCGGAUAUCAGCCAUGAUCCGGUGAAUACGUUCCCGGGCCUUGUACACACCGCCCGUCAAGCCAUGGAAGCCGGGAGUGCCUGA